GUCAUAUCAGAGAAAAAAAAAGACCAAAUAGUCAAUCUUGAUGGGUUAUGGGAUGAUUAUGCCUUGCGUGGUAUGUUGAUCAGUUUAGGUGAGUAUGUCAUCCGAUAAACUCAUAAAUUCAUAUGAAAAAAGAGACUCCAAUGGUGCUGGACGUCUUGGUACACGUAUUGGUAUAUAGAUGUAAGUCUAAAGAAGUGCCUACUCACGUGGCAUAGAGCUAAGACCAGCUCUGGUAUGGAUUGCCUUCAGUGAUAUUGAUCCCCCACUUAUGGGAAAACAGAGGGCGGUAUUGGUCUCAGCAGCAGUCUUAUUCAACAGAGGUUAGAAACCUCAGGUAUAUAUAAAAAAUAGUGCAACAAUAGUGCGCACUGUAUAAAAUAUGUAAUAUAUGAUAAAAACCAAAAGGUUAUACUCACAUUUAACUGAGCAGACAACCCGCUCGGUUAUAUAGGCGUGGAUGGUAUAAUCCCCACCAAGGAUGC